rnacentral:rRNA from 1 species
UCUAAUACCGGAUAUGACUGCCGGCCGCAUGGCCUGGUGGUGGAAAGCGUUAGUGGUGCAGGAUGAGCCCGCGGCCUAUCAGCUUGUUGGUGGGGUGAUGGCCUACCAAGGCGACGACGGG